rnacentral:rRNA from 1 species
GCAUAUCAAUAAGCGGAGGAAAAGAAACCAACAGGGAUUGCCCCCAGUAACGGCGAAGUGAAGCGGCAACAGCUCAAAUUUGAAAUCUGGCUUCGGCCCGAGUUGUAAUUUGUAGAGGAUGCUUUUGGUGAGGUGCCUUCUGAGUUCCCUGGAACGGGACGCCAGAGAGGGUGAGAGCCCCGUAUAGUUGGACACCGAGCCUCUGUAAAGCUCCUUCGACGAGUCGAGUAGUUUGGGAAUGCUGCUCAAAAUGGGAGGUAUAUCUCUUCUAAAGCUAAAUACUGGCCAGAGACCGAUAGCGCACAAGUAGAGUGAUCGAAAGAUGAAAAGCACUUUGAAAAGAGGGUUAAAUAGUACGUGAAAUUGUUGAAAGGGAAGCGCUUGUGACCAGACUUGUGCCCGGCUGAUCAUCCAGUGUUCUCACUGGUGCACUCUGCCGGGCUCAGGCCAGCGUCGGUUCUCGCAGGGGGACAAAAGCGGCGGGAACGUAGCUCCUCCGGGAGUGUUAUAGCCCGUCGCUCAAUACCCCUGCGGGGACCGAGGUUCGCGCUCUGCAAGGACGCUGGCAUAAUGGUCACCAGCGGCCCGUCUUGAAACACGGACCAAGGAGUCGAGGUUUUGCGCGAGUGUUUGGGUGUCAAACCCGCACGCGUAAUGAAAGUGAACGUAGGUGAGAGCUUCGGCGCAUCAUCGACCGAUCCUGAUGUAUUCGGAUGGAUUUGAGUAAGAGCGUAUAGCCUCGGACCCGAAAGAUGGUGAACUAUGCCUGAAUAGGGUGAAGCCAGAGGAAACUCUGGUGGAGGCUCGCAGCGGUUCUGACGUGCAAAUCGAUCGUCAAAUUUGGGCAUGGGGGGCGAAAGACUAAUCGAACCAUCUAGUAGCUGGGUUACGCGA